AAGCAGCCACUCAUUCAAAGAGUGCGUAAUAGCUCACUGGUCGAGUGAUCCUGCGCCGAAGAUUUCCGGGGCUAAAACUUACUACCGAAGCUACGGCAUCAUUAUGAUGGGUAGGGGAGCUUCCCAUACGGGUUGAAGCAUGACCGUAAGGACAUGUGGACAGUAUGGGAGUGAGAAUGUUGGCAUGAGUAGCGAGAUGUGGGUGAGAAUCCCACAGGCCGUAAACCCAAGGUUUCCAGGGGAAGGUUCGUCCGCCCUGGGUUAGUCGGGACCUAAGCUGAGGCCGAAAGGCGUAGGUGAUGGACAACAGGUUGAUAUUCCUGUACUACCGAUAACCGUUUGAGAGAUGGGAUGACACAGUAGGAUAAG
rnacentral:rRNA from 1 species